UACGUAGGGUGCGAGCGUUGUCCGGAAUUACUGGGCGUAAAGAGCUCGUAGGUGGUUUGUCGCGUUGUUCGUGAAAUGCCACAGCUUAACUGUGGGCGUGCGGGCGAUACGGGCAGACUGGAGUACUGCAGGGGAGACUGGAAUUCCUGGUGUAGCGGUGGAAUGCGCAGAUAUCAGGAGGAACACCAAUGGCGAAAGCAGCUCUCUGGGACGGUACUGACGCUGAGACGCGAAAGCGUGGGGAGCGAACAGG
rnacentral:rRNA from 1 species